rnacentral:lncRNA from 1 species
ACGGUCCAUUCACUUCACAUAUAAUAUUUUUGAUAUGCAUCGACACUUCACUACAAACAAAGAACCCAUAACAUUUCAAAAAAUUGGCCUGAAAGGAGUGUGGUACUCUCCUUUAUAGAAAGCUCUUACCCUCUUUCCGUAUUCGAGAUGGGGCAAAUCAUUAGCACUGUUCAAGGUCCUGUUCCUAACACAUUGACUUGGUGUUACAAUUAAACUUCAACUGUUAAGAUGCCCAGGACAUCUACAUUUCAGCGAGUCAUCGAAAAUUGCAUCGGCGUGGGUAAAGGAAAAUACCACUCCGAGGAACAUCACAAGCAAGCCUCGCCCUAUAGGUUCUUCUUUCCAAUGUGUUUGAUCCUUGACCGAGCUUUGACCCAAGGCAGUUUGUCUGUGAACACUUGGAUGCAGAGGUUCUACAACAUCUUGAGGAAUACAAUCGCGAUGUCCAUGAAAACUCCUUUAGGUAAGUGUCAUCCCUAAUGCCUCCAAAUCCUAUGUAUUAUGGUUCCUUCGGUAUUACAACGGACUUGGAUAUCCACAAAAGUUGCUGGUCAAAAUAAUUGUGAGUCUUCUCAUGCUGUG